AUGGGCAUCACAGCCUAUAGUAACAGUGACAUCUAUUCCAGCAGCUCAAAGGCCUACAGUUAUCUGACCACAGGUUAUUAUGACACAAAGGUGGAGGGCCAGACACCUUAUCAGCAAAUGAAUAUGUCCUUCAGGAUCCAGCAUGAUAGCCAUGUGAUCACUUCCGGCAAAUAUUUAAGGAGCAAUGAUGGGUGUCACUUCUACCUCAAGAUUAAGAAUCUAAUGUGACUUCUCUCAUUCUCUUCACCUUUACUGAGACCACAGAGGCUACAUAUUGCAAUGGUGUCAUCCCAAGAUAGGAGGAGACUGGAUCCCUGAACCAUCACUUGGAGGAAAGCUGACUAACUGAUAUGAGACUGUGAUGUGAGCAAGAAAUAAAGUGCUAUGAUAAUUAGAUGUGGGGUUAUUU
rnacentral:lncRNA from 1 species